rnacentral:RNase_P_RNA from 1 species
UGGGUCGGCAAGACGGUCGCGUUGAUGAAGUUCGCUUCAUCACCGAGGAACGUCCGGGCUCCACAGAGUAGGGCGGUGGGUAACACCCACCCGGGGUAACCCGCGAGAACAGUGCAACAGAAAGUAAACCGCCUCCGGUUCGCCGGCGGUAAGGAUGAAACGGUGGUGUAAGAGACCACCAGCAGUCUGGGUGACCAGACUGGCUAGGUAAACCUCGCCCGGAGCAAGGUCAGACAGAGAACGGUGAAGCUACUCGCUGAGUUCUUGGGUAGACCGCUAGAGAAUUGCGGCAACGUAAUUCCGAGAUAGAUGGCCGUCACGGGAAACCGACAGAACCCGGCGUAUUAGCCGGCCCAUUCU